UUUCUAUUUAGCUUAAGCCCAUUGAAAACUGUUUAGCUUAAACCCAACAAUUACCUAAUUAAGGGAUUGGAUCAGUCAAUCAUGAAUAGUAAAUUUGAGAAUAUCUCUGUUUUUUCCAUUUUUCAGAAAUAUCUCAGUCCACCCGCCGUGGAAACACGCUCCUGCCUCUCCUUACUUUGGUAACUUCUCUCUCUAUCUCUCCUCUUUGUUCUUUUCCUCCAGUUUUCUAGUGUAAGGAUUAUUAUGGGUUCAAUUUGUUUGCGUAUAUUUGUUUUCUGACGAAAGUUUUGUACGAUUUGCUAUGGGUAGAUGAAGAUUUGUUCUUGGGAUGGUUAAUGUGAACAAAAUCAAUGAGGUUCUAGCUAUUUGGAAAGAUAUUAUAUGUGAGGUUCAGCAGCACAUGAAUGAUCAAAAGGGUAUUGAGUAAAAGCUGCUACUGAUAAAUUCAUUUUCUUCUUCCAAAAUAGAUAUCCAUUGCAUAUUCUUAAGGAAAAAAGAAUAGAGACCCAACUUCUUCCUCCCCCAAACUGCAUGCUAGUGGUCUGCUUUAAUGUUAUUGAAGUUAUUCUGUCGUUUGUUUCUAUACCAUUUGUCAUCUGUUUCUUUUUCAUUAAUUUGUGGAUUAAAAUUAUCAUGCUGAUAUAGUUGUUCCUGUUUGUCUCUCCUGCUUUUGCUUCUGUGGGCUUUGAAAUCCCUGAAAGUGUUUUUAACCUUUCUUAAUUCAAUUCUUUUUGACUAAUUCAAUUGUUGAUUAAGUACUAUCUUGUUGUAGUUCUUUGACUAGUGAUAACAUUUACCUGCAAAUGAAGGGUAUAAAGGGCUCUUAAGUUCUAUUACAAGUGCAACAAAAAGAACUCUCACUUCAAAAGCAUUAGCAAUCAGUCUAGUGAGAGAAAAAGAAACUUUGGAGGGAAGAUCCAUUUACAUCUCCUUUUAUCACAUUUACGUUCAUCUAAUGGAUUGUCUGUUUGGGUUGGGAGGAAUUAUAACUUCUAUUUUGGCAGUGGUUUUUUGGUAUAUCUUUAGAGUAAAGAAGACAAGUUCGUCAGUAAAGAACUUAAGAGAUGGGAAUUUUUGAAGCGCUCCAGAACAAAAAUACGUUUUUCUGAUGUAGCAACAAAUACUGACAUAAUCAUUGUUGGUGCUGGUGUUGCUGGUUCAGCUCUUGCUUACACGCUUGGCAAGGAUGGCUGCCAAUUGUCUGUAAUUGAAAGAGACCUGACUGAACCUGAUAGAAUUGUUGGUGAACUCCUACAGCCUGGGGGCUAUCUAAAAUUGAUUGAGUUGGGUCUUGAGUUAUGGGAAACUCUUCAUAUACACUACAGAGUGCCUGGGGGCUAUCUAAAAUCGAUUUGAGUUGGGUCUUGAGGGUAUGGGAAACUCAUCAUAUACACUACAAAGUUUUUCAAGAACCAACUUACAUAUUUGAAAAUUCUAUUACAGCUUUUGUUUUUGGUGUAAUAUGCGAAAUCUUUAAUUAAUUUUCUGACAUGGGAGUAUGUAUUUGUGGAUGUGGAUUGUGUUGAACAGAGAUGCUCAACAAGUAUUUGGAUAUGCUAUUUACAAAGAUGGAAAAAGUACUAAGCUAUCUUGUCCUCUGCAAAGUUUUCAAUUGGAUGUAGCUGGAAGAAGUUUCCACAAUGGACGUUUCAUACAAAGAAUGUGUGAGAAGGCUGCAACUCUUGCCAAUGUAACAUUGGGGCAAGGGACAGUAAUAUCUCUCCUUGAAGAAAAGGGCACUAUUAAAGGGGUGUUGUACAAAACAGAAACUGGACAAGAAUUGAGAGCAUAUGCUCGCCUUACAAUAGUAUGUGAUGGUUGUUUUUCAAACCUACAGUGCUCGCUUUGCAAACCUAAGGUGAAGAAUCUGUUAGUUUAAUUUAACCAAGUUAAUUUAUUAAAGAAGCUUGAUCUUACGGUAUGAGUUCCAUGGGAAGAAAACUCAACUUCUCACUUUUCACACUAUAUGGUUUCCAAUUGAUAUUAACAGAGGUUAGAAACAAUUCAGCAGGUUGAUAUCCCUUCCUUUUUUGUUGCCUUGGUUCUAGAGAACUGUGAUCUUCCAUAUAAAAAUCAUGGACAUGAUGUUCUUGCCGAUCCUUCACCCAUCUUGUUUUAUCCAAUCAGUAGCACUGAGGUCUGUUGUUUAGUUGAUGUGCCUGGACAGAAGGUAGCCUCCAUUUCCAAUGGUGAAAUGGCUUAAUAUUUGAGAACAGUGGCGGCUCAACAGAUACCUUUUGAGCUGCAUGCUUCUUCAUAUCUGCAAUUGAAAAGGGAAAUGUACAAACAAUGCCAAACAAAAGCAUGCCAGCUUCUCCAUAUCCAACUCCCAUUGCAUUGUUGCUGGAUCUGCAUUCAACUUACGUCAUCCUUUAACGGGUGGAGGGAUGACUGAGGCUCUCUCUGACAUAGUUUUGUUAAGCAACCUUCUUAGACCUCUACACAAUCUUAAUGAUGCAGCUAAUCUCUGCAAGUACCUUGAGUCCUUCUAUACUAUCGGAAAGUUAAGCAGCAUUCAUGUGUAUCCUAUAUGAAACCUGUGCAUCUUUAGCCAAUGGCAUCUACAAUAAAUACAUUGGUUAGUGCCCUUUCCAAGGUUUUCUCUACAUCAACUGAUCUUGCAAGGAAUGAAUUGCGGCAAGCAUGUUUCGGCUAUUUGUGUUUUGGUGGUGCUUUUUCAAACGGAUCAAGUUUAGUCCUACAUUUCUUUGUUGUGGCUGUCUGUGGUGUUGGUCUCUUAAUACUUCCAUUUCCUUCACCUAAAAGCAUAUGGACUGGUGCUAAAUUGAUGAAGGCUGCAUCAAUUUUCAACUUUCCCAUAAUGAAGGCCAAAGGAGUUAGACGGGUAUUCUUCCUAGUAACCAUGCCAUCACAUCAUAGAGCUUCUCCUUGAUAUUCAACAUUUGAAAACAAGUAGCAUGACACUUUUGUAAGUUCUAGGAAAAAGUUUUGCAGUGUAUAUUGUGUAUCAAUAUUUUCGGAAUUUGACUCCGAAGAAGUAUUCAUUAAUUGUUGAAUUAUUCCAAUUUCAAAUGAUACAAGCAUGAAAUUCAUUAUUCAGCGUUCUCGA